AGUGAACGCUGGCGGUAGGCCUAACACAUGCAAGUCGAACGGCAGCACAGUAAGAGCUUGCUCUUACGGGUGGCGAGUGGCGGACGGGUGAGGAAUACAUCGGAAUCUACUUUUUCGUGGGGGAUAACGGAGGGAAACUUACGCUAAUACCGCAUACGACCUACGGGUGAAAGCAGGGGAUCUUCGGACCUUUCGCGAUUGAAAGAGCCGAUGUCGGAUUAGCUAGUUGGCGGGGUAAAGGCCCACCAAGGCGACGAUACGUAGCUGGUCUGAGAGGAUGAUCAGCCACACUGGAACUGAGACACGGUCCAGACUCCUACGGGAGGCAGCAGUGGGGAAUAUUGGACAAUGGGCGAAAGCCUGAUCCAGCCAUACCGCGUGGGUGAAGAAGGCCUUCGGGUUGUAAAGCCCUUUUGUUGGGAAAGAAAAGCAGCAGGUUAAUACCCCGCUGUUCUGACGGUACCCAAAGAAUAAGCACCGGCUAACUUCGUG
rnacentral:rRNA from 1 species